AACGUAGGUGGCGAGCGUUGUCCGGAAUCACUGGGUGUAAAGGGCGUGUAGGCGGGGGUGCAAGUCAGGUGUGAAAGACCACGGCUCAACCGUGGGGUUGCACUUGAAACUGUAUCUCUUGAGUAUUGGAGAGGGAAGCGGAAUUCCUAGUGUAGCGGUGAAAUGCGUAGAGAUUAGGAGGAACACCAGUGGCGAAGGCGGCUUCCUGGCCAAAUACUGACGCUGAGGCGCGAAAGCGUGGGGAGCAAACAGGAUUAGAUACC
rnacentral:rRNA from 1 species